UAGGGAAUCUUCCGCAAUGGACGCAAGUCUGACGGAGCAACGCCGCGUGAGUGAAGAAGGAUUUCGGUUCGUAAAACUCUGUUGUUAGAGAAGAACAGCGCAUAGAGUAACUGUUAUGCGUGUGACGGUAUCUAACCAGAAAGCCACGGCUAACUACGUGCCAGCAGCCGCGGUAAUACGUAGGUGGCAAGCGUUGUCCGGAUUUCUUGGGCGUAAAGCGAGCGCAGGCGGUCAAUUAAGUCUGAUGUGAAAGCCCCCGGCUCAACCGGGGAUGGUCAUUGGAAACUGGUUGACUUGAGUGCAGAAGAGGAGAGUGGAAUUCCAUGUGUAGAGGUGAAAUGCGUAGAUAUAUGGUGGAACACCAGUGGCGAAGGCGACUCUAUGGUCUGUAACUGACGAUGAGGUUCGAAAGCGUGGGUAGCAAACAGG
rnacentral:rRNA from 1 species